UCGUAUUCGUAAAUCAUAAUGGCUUUGUCAGAUUGUGCAAUUUGAAUGAAAUUUACGUACAGAUUACAUAUCAAUUACUGUUACUUGAUUUUCGAUAUUUUUACUUGAAUAUCAUCUUUAUAUCUAUUCACUCACAUAAAUCUUACGUUUCCUAGUUCCCUUACCUUUACACAAUAAAAUGCUCGAAAUAACAUGCAAUGAUCGUCUAGGCAAGAAAGUUCGGGUAAAAUGUAAUCCUGAUGACACAGUAGGUGAUUUGAAGAAAUUAAUUGCUGCACAAACUGGCACCCGUUAUGAUAAAAUUGUUUUAAAGAAAUGGUAUACAGUGUUCAAGGACCACAUUAAGCUUUCAGAUUAUGAAAUUCAUGAUGGAAUGAAUUUGGAGCUUUAUUAUCAAUGAAUCACGGAUAUUUAAGUGUGUUAUAUGUGAAAUACAACUGUGUGUGGACUAUUAAACUUUGAAGUGUCUUAAAUUGAACAAGAGCCGAUUCGGUUCUGGCACUCGCCGGCCGACGCUGCCGCGGCACGCUACGACUACGAGAGGUCGACACAGCGGCCAAACCCUAUAAUUGGUCGCUUUCGCCAGCCACGGCUGAGCUCCGAUCCGUCUAACGACAAUUAUUCACCUGUCUUUUUAAUCGGCUUGGGUUCGGGUGUUUCCGCUCCUCAUUUUUACUAGGCAUUUAUGUAUUAGAAUACUUUGGUACUUUUUAAUUCUAAAAUUGUAGGAUGAAAUAACCGGCCACUUGACUCUUGUAACUGUGAUGUUUUACUAUCGUACUAAUUUACUAACCGCCCACAAAUAAAAUAACUUUUAAAGGAUUAAAACGCUUGUGUACCUGUGUUUGUAAGCCCCCCUGAAAACGAGAUCUGGAAAGUCUUGAAACGUGGGGUUAACUAAUAAUAAAAAUAUAACUUUUACGUAAAAAAUCGAAUGUAAAAACACAGUUACAAUUGCACGCGUUUUAAUCCUCUUAAUGUGUUUUAUUUGUUGUAACACUCGCGUUUAUCAAAGAAAUAAUAGUAGAUUUUACAACGAGUGCACAAAACGAACCACUUAUUACCCGAGACUUUUAGCAGCCCGAGCCGAAGGCGAGGGCUGAUAGUAAUGUCGAGGAUAAAAUGGUUUUGUGGACGAGUUAUAAACUCUGCUUUUCAUUUCGAUUGCGAGGAAAUAAAACAAUAGUAUAACAUAACAUUUCUUAAAUUAAUAUUCAAAGAAAAAUUUGUGCAGUUUUGAAUACUGAAGGAAAUUGUUUUUCCCGGCAUAUUAACGGUAUUUUUCAGAAUUUGUAAAGUGACAUAUUGUGAGAAGAGGGCUCUGACGACAUUUGCAAAAAUAUUGUGAACUUUGAGAUAUUUUUCCCGAGACUUAGGCGGUAUUAUCUGUUGCAGAACUCUCUGUGCAUUAAUUUCCAUAAUCGUAGUAGGAGAGAGUGCUAAAUCCUCUUCUUCACUGGACAUUUUUAACAAUUUUAGCAAAUUAGAAGAAAUUAAUAAACGCAUGAAAAAACAAGACCUCUUUCCCGCCGCUUUUUUUUAAUCUUACGACAUUGCUAUUAGGCAUGGGCUCCACACGUAUACAGCCUACUAUUAAAUAAAUUUUGUAAUAUAUGUAUAUUUUUAAUUAAUUAAAAUAUAACCUACCGUAUUUUACUUUAAAUUUUAAUAUCUUUUAUGUCUAAAAACACAUAAUAAGCAAAUAAAUUAAAGUAAAUAUUAUAAAAUAACAAAUUCUAUCUCUGAAAUUUUUAUUGUGUUUGGCUGUAUGGCUCAUUGUCUUUGCCUUAAUAUAGAUACAUUUAGUAGAUACGUUAAUGCAUUUGUGCACAAAAGUUGAUCAGCCUAUAACGUGCACAAAUAAGCAAUUUCAGAGCAUGAGAAGUGAAAAAAAUAUUUUUCCAUUAUAUUUCUCAACUGAUCUAACCUCUCAAAUGUAUAAAUUAACAGUAUAUAAUAUUUGUCCCCUUUUUUUAAAUAUAAUUAUGUUUUGAAGGUAUGAUAAAUAUGCAAGACUAAAGAUCUGAUUUUUCUAAUAAUAUGUGUACCUAUGUGUAUAUAUAUUUAUUAAUUUUAUAGAAUUGUUU